UACGUAGGGUCCGAGCGUUGUCCGGAAUUAUUGGGCGUAAAGGGCUCGUAGGCGGUUUGUCACGUCGGGAGUGAAAACUCAGGGCUCAACCCUGAGCGUGCUUCCGAUACGGGCAGACUAGAGGUAUGCAGGGGAGAACGGAAUUCCUGGUGUAGCGGUGGAAUGCGCAGAUAUCAGGAGGAACACCAAUAGCGAAGGCAGCUCGCUGGGACGUUACUGACACUGAGGCGCGAAAGCGUGGGGAGCGAACAGG
rnacentral:rRNA from 1 species